GACGAACGCUGGCGGCGUGCCUAAUACAUGCAAGUCGAGCGAAUCGAUGGGAGCUUGACCCCUGAGAUUAGCGGCGGACGGGUGAGUAACACGUGGGUAACCUGGCUGUAAGACUGGGAUAACUUCGGGAAACCGGAGCUAAUACCGGAUACUUUCUUUUCUCGCAUGAGGGAAUGUGGAAAGUUGGUUCUGCUAUCCCUUACAGAUGGACCAGCGGCGCAUUAGCUAGUUGGUGAGGUAACGGCUCACCAAGGCAACGAUGCGUAGCCGACCUGAGAGGGUGAUCGGCCACACUGGGACUGAGACACGGCCCAGACUCCUACGGGAGGCAGCAGUAGGGAAUCUUCCGCAAUGGACGAAAGUCUGACGGAGCAACGCCGCGUGAGCGAAGAAGGCCUUCGGGUCGUAAAGCUCUGUUGUUAGGGAAGAACAAGUACGAGAGUAACUGCUCGUACCUUGACGGUACCUAACCAGAAAGCCACGGCUAACUACGUGCCAGCAGCCGCGGUAAAAC
rnacentral:rRNA from 1 species